ACUUACGGCCAUACCACCCUGAGCAUGCCCGAUCUCGUCUGAUCUCGGAAGCUAAGCAGGGUUGGGCCUGGUUAGUACUUGAAUGGGAGACCGCCUGGGAAUACCAGGUGCUGUAAGCU
rnacentral:rRNA from 1 species